UGUUACACUAAAAAAAAAAAAAAUAAUAAUUAAACUGUAUUCUAAAAUAACUUAUAAGGAAGCAAUUAAAAAAUAAAUGUACACAAUAGCAAUCCCACUUGGCAUCUUAGUUGGCAUUUAACAUUGAAAUUUAAUUGAAACUUAAAGAGGUUUGGCUACAAAUUUCUCUUACAUAGUCAAAUAAACUAUCAAAUUGUGUAAUUACUUUCAAUUACACCAUAAUUUUCCAAAUGCAACAUAAAACGCUUGACACCAGUUAUUACUAAAAUCGAGAUCAACUUUAACUGCCCUAUGAUCUUAACCAUAAAAACCUAAAUGAGACAAAAUCGCCAUAAGAAAAAAGACAUGCCAUUUGUUAUUAAUAAGUAAUAACACACCAUGUAUGAUGAGGACCUCUACAAAGCAAAGGUGAUCAAACAUAUUUAUUGAUAAAAUUACUAAAGGUUGUCGUCAUAGUUGGAUCAAAAAGCAGAUAUUCUGUUUAUUAGAAAGAAAGAAAGUAUAAUAACCAAGUACAUGCUUGAAGACAGAACUUUCAUUAGUAAAUACUUAGGUUUCCCUCAAUGUCUUUCUAGAUCUAAAUAUCACUCAUUUUCUUUUCUUAAAGAUAAAGUUCUCUCUAUUCUCACGAAGUGGUCUGCUAAGUGAUUUUCCAAGGCUGGUAAGAAGAUUCUUCUCAAGGCUGUCAUACAAGCUAUACCUGCAUAUGUGAUGGCUUGUUUUAGGUUGUCUGUCAAGCUGUGCAGAGGAAUUGAGGCUGCGAUGGCCAGAUUCUGGUGGGGUUCUUCUAGGGAUUCUAAAAAAAUUUGUUGGAAAUCUUAGAAAUUUUUUUGUCAGUCCAAAUUUUUGGGAGAACUUGGUUUUCUUUCUUUAAUUCAAUUUACCAAGCCAUGCUUGCUAAAACCCUAACUCUUUGCUCGGUCUGGUUCUUAAAGCUAGCUACUUUCCCAAUUCCUCUAUUUUUGAGGCUACUCUUGAUCAUAACCCUUCCUACUCUUGGAGAAGUAUUCUUUGGGGAAGAGAUCUGAUGGCUUCUGGUAUCAUUUGGAAGAAUGGGGAUGGGGAAUAGAUUAGGACUUUUGAGGAUUAUUGGAUACCUAAUAAUAAAUUUCUGCUGUAUAAGGAUAAUGGUUCUCCUGAUUCAUGUAUGCUUUCUUAUUUCAUAGAUGAUUCUGGAUCUUGGGAUCUGCCUAAACUUAAGAGACAUUUUGAUGAUGCUCUUGUUAAUGAUAUCCUUGAGGUACCUGUUACUGGACACCAUGGAAAAGAUGAUCUUAUUUCGUCUAGGGAGAGUUCUAGUCUUUUUAGUGUUAAGUCUUCCUAUCAUUUGGCUCUCUCUAAAUAAGAUAUCCCCUCUUCUUCAUCUUUUAAUGAUUCUAAAAUAUUUUGGAGUAAGAUUUGGAAUUCUUAAGUUCCCCCAAAAAUAAAACACUUUGUCUGGAGAGUUGUAUCAAAUGAUAUUCUUGUUGCCUCUUCCCUUUUUCAGAAACAUGUUAUUGACUCUCCCAUUUGUCCCCUUUACAAGCUUUGCCCUGAAACUAUUCAGCAUGCUUUGUUGGAAUGCUCUAGAUCGAGGAAAGCUUGGAAAUCUUCAAGAGAAACAAUGUUUUUUAUAGACAUAGUGACAUGCUUGCUGAUGAGGUUUUUGACUGGUGUGUUAGCUUUUUCUUCAAGUAUUUGGAUGCACAACAACAUAACAAACAGUCAAGUGUUUCUACUCCUGUGCAUACCAGGCCCUUAACAUGCUCUUCUAAGGAUAAUUUUUCAAGUUUUUACUGAUGCAGCAAUUGAUCUCCAAAGCAGGAAACAUAGCAUUAGGAUUGUUUUGGAUGAGUUGAACCAGGUUAAAGUAGGAUUCUCAAGACCCUUUGUUGGAAGUGUUCCUCCUACAGUGGCUGAAGCAAAGGCAAUUCUUUAUGCCAUGGGCUCAAAUGUUCAUCUUCUUCCCAUAGAUGUUAUUAAAAAAGAUUGUAAAACUAUUGUGGAUAAACUUAAAUCUUGUAGCUGAAAUAGUAGUCCACUUGAUGAUAUAUUAAUUUGUGUUAAGAACUUGUUAUCGUUCAAUCCUAACUUAACUAUUAGUCAUGUUGGUAGGGAGUCAAAUGAGUUGGCUCACAAAGUUGCUAAGCUAGGUUUAGAACUAGAUAAUGAAUUAACUUAGAAUAGUCAUCUACCUUCCAUGUAAGUUGUUGGCUUUGUACUCGCCACAAAACUAAUGAAGCACAAGUUUUUAUAAAAAAAUUAA